CACAGACCACGAAUCCGGAGAUAGACGACGAAGUUCCAUAGAUCUGUUUAUGAUUAGUAGCGAGCACAGACAACGAA